UGUAUAAUGGGUCAGCGACUUAUAUUCUGUAGCAAGGUUAACCGAAUAGGGGAGCCGAAGGGAAACCGAGUCUUAACUGGGCGUUAAGUUGCAGGGUAUAGACCCGAAACCCGGUGAUCUAGCCAUGGGCAGGUUGAAGGUUGGGUAACACUAACUGGAGGACCGAACCGACUAAUGUUGAAAAAUUAGCGGAUGACUUGUGGCUGGGGGUGAAAGGCCAAUCAAACCGGGAGAUAGCUGGUUCUCCCCGAAAGCUAUUUAGGUAGCGCCUCGUGAAUUCAUCUCCGGGGGUAGAGCACUGUUUCGGCAAGGGGGUCAUCCCGACUUACCAACCCGAUGCAAACUGCGAAUACCGGAGAAUGUUAUCACGGGAGACACACGGCGGGUGCUAACGUCCGUCGUGAAGAGGGAAACAACCCAGACCGCCAGCUAAGGUCCCAAAGUCAUGGUUAAGUGGGAAACGAUGUGGGAAGGCCCAGACAGCCAGGAUGUUGGCUUAGAAGCAGCCAUCAUUUAAAGAAAGCGUAAUAGCUCACUGGUCGAGUCGGCCUGCGCGGAAGAUGUAACGGGGCUAAACCAUGCACCGAAGCUGCGGCAGCGACGCUUAUGCGUUGUUGGGUAGGGGAGCGUUCUGUAAGCCUGUGAAGGUGUACUGUGAGGUAUGCUGGAGGUAUCAGAAGUGCGAAUGCUGACAUAAGUAACGAUAAAGCGGGUGAAAAGCCCGCUCGCCGGAAGACCAAGGGUUCCUGUCCAACGUUAAUCGGGGCAGGGUGAGUCGACCCCUAAGGCGAGGCCGAAAGGCGUAGUCGAUGGGAAACAGGUUAAUAUUCCUGUACUUGGUGUUACUGCGAAGGGGGGACGGAGAAGGCUAUGUUGGCCGGGCGACGGUUGUCCCGGUUUAAGCGUGUAGGCUGGUUUUCCAGGCAAAUCCGGAAAACUAAGGCUGAGGCGUGAUGACGAGGCACUACGGUGCUGAAGCAACAAAUGCCCUGCUUCCAGGAAAAGCCUCUAAGCAUCAGGUAACCAUCAAAUCGUACCCCAAACCGACACAGGUGGUCAGGUAGAGAAUACCAAGGCGCUUGAGAGAACUCGGGUGAAGGAACUAGGCAAAAUGGUGCCGUAACUUCGGGAGAAGGCACGCUGAUAUGUAGGUGAAGCGACUUGCUCGUGGAGCUGAAAUCAGUCGAAGAUACCAGCUGGCUGCAACUGUUUAUUAAAAACACAGCACUGUGCAAACACGAAAGUGGACGUAUACGGUGUGACGCCUGCCCGGUGCCGGAAGGUUAAUUGAUGGGGUUAGCGGUAACGCGAAGCUCUUGAUCGAAGCCCCGGUAAACGGCGGCCGUAACUAUAACGGUCCUAAGGUAGCGAAAUUCCUUGUCGGGUAAGUUCCGACCUGCACGAAUGGCGUAAUGAUGGCCAGGCUGUCUCCACCCGAGACUCAGUGAAAUUGAACUCGCUGUGAAGAUGCAGUGUACCCGCGGCAAGACGGAAAGACCCCGUGAACCUUUACUAUAGCUUGACACUGAACAUUGAGCCUUGAUGUGUAGGAUAGGUGGGAGGCUUUGAAGUGUGGACGCCAGUCUGCAUGGAGCCGGCCUUGAAAUACCACCCUUUAAUGUUUGAUGUUCUAACGUUGGCCCCUGA
rnacentral:rRNA from 1 species